CCGGUACACCCUGAUGGCUGUACCGGUACAGCAAGCAGAAAAUCAGCUUUUUUACAGAUUUUCUUGCUAAACGCUGCUUUCGAGUCGCAUAAAGUCCGUUUUGCGUCUAUUUCGCGCCAACGCGACUCAGACUUGUCUCGACACUCUCCAGAGCUGUCGACAAGCCUUCACUGCCGAACACCAGGGAUCUCACAAUAAUUGUAACAAUUAAGGGGCUUUUGGAGGGGCAUAAUUGUGAUGGUAUAAAUGUCAUUUCAUUUAUCUUCUAUUAAAAAAUAAAUUGUACUCUAUUAACGGUAACAAAUCAGAAUGACAAAUAUGAAUAUCGUUGAAUUUUUACAGUGAUGAUAAAUAUGAAAAGUUGAAUUUUGUAAGAAUAUAUUUAUUAUUUAAUAUAGUUUUAGAAAGCUGUAUAAAAUUAAUCCUUUCUUUUUCUACGAGGUCUACAUGAACAAACCCAAAAAAAAAUCCAUUUUUUAUUUUUUUCCUUUCUGCAAAUCUUAGCACUUUUGUACUCCUAUCCCGACUCGCUUGGCCUGGGAUUCAAACUCAAGACCACAAAUUUAAGUGCCGUGGCAGGGGGUCGUGCCGGAAACUUGCUGGCACAGUAUGGUACGGUACGUGCCGAGCCGUGCCGAUGCAUGCCGGUAAAAAAAAUUCUUAUGUGCUGACACAUAAUAAAAUGAAAUAUUUAUUUUCUUUAGCAACAAAUAUUCUAACUAUUUAUUAUGUUUUUUUUAUUACAUCUUUUAAUAGAGGGUUCUUAUCUGUGCCAUCGGAACGGGAUCUGUAUCGUACCGGUAUCUUAUUGACACGGUAUGAUACGGUAGACACGGCUCGUGCGGACGAGCACUUAAAAUCUUGCUCAAGACCCCUCAAUUCUC
rnacentral:lncRNA from 1 species